AAUAUGGCGCAAGCUGAAAUAAGUUAUUGCCAAAUCCGGAGCUCGCGUCCGAUUAGUUAUUUGCCGGGGUAAGCGCCUUCCAAGACAGCGAUCGGUAGCUGUUAUGAGAGGACGCGCAGCCCCACUGGGACUGAGACACGGCCCAGACUCCUACGGGAGGCAGCAGUGGGGAAUUUUCCCCAAUGGGCGAAAGCCUGACGGAGCAAUACCGCGUGAGGGAGGAAGGCUUUUGGGUUGUAAACCUCUUUUAUUAAGGAAGAAGCAAGUGACGGUACUUAAUGAAUCAGCAUCGGCUAACUCCGUGCCAGCAGCCGCGGUAAUACGGAGGAUGCAAGCGUUAUCCGGAAUCAUUGGGCGUAAAGCGUCCGCAGGUGGUCAAUCGUGUCUGCCGUUAAAGACAGAAGCUCAACUUCUGAGAGGCGGUGGAAACUGGUUGACUAGAGUACGGUAGGGGUUGAGGGAAUUCCCAGUGUAGCGGUGAAAUGCGUAGAUAUUGGGA
rnacentral:rRNA from 1 species